CCUACGGGAGGCAGCAGUGGGGAAUAUUGGACAAUGGGGGCAACCCUGAUCCAGCCAUGCCGCGUGUGUGAAGAAGGCCCUCGGGUUGUAAAGCACUUUCAGUGAGGAAGAACGCCUGGUGGUUAAUACCCAUCAGGAAAGACAUCACUCACAGAAGAAGCACCGGCUAACUCCGUGCCAGCAGCCGCGGUAAUACGGAGGGUGCGAGCGUUAAUCGGAAUUACUGGGCGUAAAGCGCGCGUAGGUGGCUUGAUAAGCCGGUUGUGAAAGCCCCGGGCUCAACCUGGGAACGGCAUCCGGAACUGUCAAGCUAGAGUGCAGGAGAGGAAGGUAGAAUUCCCGGUGUAGCGGUGAAAUGCGUAGAGAUCGGGAGGAAUACCAGUGGCGAAGGCGGACUUCUGGACUGACACUGACACUGAGGUGCGAAAGCGUGGGUAGCAAACAGGAUUAGAUACCCUAGUAGUC
rnacentral:rRNA from 1 species